rnacentral:sRNA from 1 species
UACAUGGUUGAUCAUGACAGUAAUUAUAU